rnacentral:rRNA from 1 species
UGCCAGCCGCCGCGGUAAUACGAACUGUGCGAACGUUAUUCGGAAUCACUGGGCUUACAGGGUGCGUAGGCGGCUUUUCAAGUCAGGUGUGAAAGCCCCCGGCUCAACCGGGGAACAGCGCUUGAAACUGAAGGGCUCGAGUCAGCUAGAGGUGCACGGAACUUCCAGUGGAGCGGUGAAAUGUGUUGAUAUUGGAAGGAACACCGGAGGCGAAAGCGGUGCACUGGGGCUGGUCUGACGCUGAGGCACGAAAGCCAGGGUAGCGAACGGGAUUAGAUA